rnacentral:tRNA from 1 species
UGGUGUGGCUCAGUUGGUAGAGCGAUUGAUUCGUAAUCAAUAGACCACGGGUUCGAGUCCCGUCACC